rnacentral:rRNA from 15 species
GCUUACGGCCAUACCACCNUGAACGCGCCCGAUCUCGUCCGAUCUCGGAAGCUAAGCAGGGUCGGGCCUGGUUAGUACUUGGAUGGGAGACCGCCUGGGAAUACCAGGUGCUGUAAGCC